GCGCCAGUGGUUUAAUGGUAAAAUCCAUCGUUGCCAUCUGCGAGCUAACCACUCCAGUGAUCUCGAUGGGCUCCGCGUUCGAUUCGCGGCUGGCGCA